rnacentral:rRNA from 1 species
ACUGCUUUUAUACAGGAAGAAACAUUCUUACGUGUAUUKGAUUGACGGUUCUGUGAGAAUAAKGACCGGCUAACUCCUUGCCAGCGGCCGSGGUAAUWGCGUGGGUCCGAGCGUUAUCCGGAAUUAUUGGGUUUAAAGAGUCCGUAGGCCUGAAUUAAAUGGACGGUGAMAUGKGGURCCUAAACUAUUAAAUUGCCUGUGAUACUGGUCSWYUUGCGUUGUAUACUAGUUGKURGAAUGUGUAKUGUAGCGGUGAAAUGCAUAAAUAUUACACAAAAYACCGAUUGCGAAGGCAGCUUACUAAGUAYWAACUGACGCUGAKGGACGAAAGCGUGGGKAGCGAACAGGAUUAGAUACCCUGGUAGUCCACGCCGUAAACGAUGGAUACUAGUUGUUGGGCACCUUGUSUUCUGAUCGGCKAAAGUAAAGUGAUAACUAUCUGGCCUGGGG